CUCAGAACGAACGCUGGCGGCAUGCCUAACACAUGCAAGUCGAACGAACCCUUCGGGGUUAGUGGCGCACGGGUGCGUAACGCGUGGGAAUCUGCCCUUUGCUUCGGAAUAACAGUUAGAAAUGACUGCUAAUACCGGAUGAUGUCUUCGGACCAAAGAUUUAUCGGCAAGGGAUGAGCCCGCGUAGGAUUAGGUAGUUGGUGGGGUAAAGGCCUACCAAGCCGACGAUCCUUAGCUGGUCUGAGAGGAUGAUCAGCCACACUGGGACUGAGACACGGCCCAGACUCCUACGGGAGGCAGCAGUGGGGAAUAUUGGACAAUGGGCGCAAGCCUGAUCCAGCAAUGCCGCGUGAGUGAUGAAGGCCUUCGGGUCGUAAAGCUCUUUUACCAGGGAUGAUAAUGACAGUACCUGGAGAAUAAGCUCCGGCUAACUCCGUGCCAGCAGCCGCGGUAAUACGGAGGGAGCUAGCGUUGUUCGGAAUUACUGGGCGUAAAGCGCACGUAGGCGGCUACUCAAGUCAGAGGUGAAAGCCCGGGGCUCAACCCCGGAACUGCCUUUGAAACUAGGUAGCUGGAAUCUUGGAGAGGUCAGUGGAAUUCCGAGUGUAGAGGUGAAAUUCGUAGAUAUUCGGAAGAACACCAGUGGCGAAGGCGACUGACUGGACAAGUAUGACGCU
rnacentral:rRNA from 1 species